rnacentral:lncRNA from 1 species
ACACCUCCCAAAAUGCAGAGAAGGCAGGGUGGCUAGGAAUGGCUCUAGUAGAAUUCUCCCCUUAUCUUGUCUGGAAACAAGGGGCAAAGAGCUAUCUAUUUCCUCCUGCCAGCCUCCUGCCCCCAACAGGAUUCCUCACAUCCCAGGACCAGCUGGAAAAGGUGGUGAGAGUUGGAAAGAGACUGCUCAGUGAGGACUGCCCUGCGAACCAGCUUGGAUUCAUCCCGUUCACCUCCACGUUCUGCACUCGGGGCCGAGGGAAGGGAGGCAGCCCAGGCAGCUAGAGAACUUGAUGAAACACACUCAAUCUGAAUCUCGCUUGAUCGUCAUGCUGACCCAGUGAGUCUACUCAGGGUCAGGCAUCCUUUCCGACUACUCACUCAGCAGCGGAUCCCCACCCGCCUCUGACUCCCAGUGUCUUUCGGCUCCAACGUAAGUUCACCGAACGUCUAAGAGCUGAGGAUUCAAAGGCAUGUAAGACCGCCCCUGCCCUCAGCUGCAAGACCUGUCCGCGAUCCUACGAGCCCCAUUCCGCCCUCUUUCCCCGACCUUGGUCCCCCAUGGGCCCUACAACCAGGUCCCCGACUGACACCUUGACCAGCGAACACAGCAAACAGGCCCGCAGAUGCCGCAGGUCCUUCGGCACCGUCUCCAGGGCCAUCUUCGCCGAUGGGAAGAACAACAGGGAGAUAGACGACCACAGCCUGUGCACCCGCAGGAAGUAAAUAGCUCGUUACCCAGAAUGCCCACCACUUCCGGCGCUUAGACUUCCUCUUCCGGUGUGGGCGGACGCCAGCUCCGCCCCUACCCCCGCCAGAGGAGAUGGUUUCUCCCGCCAGCAGGCGGGGAGGCUGGGCGGCCGGCCGCCACCUGGGCCGGAGCGCGUCGCAGCCACCUGAGCCCGCCGAGGGCGCGGCGGAGGCUGUGUGGGGUAGUCAGCGGGCCCCCGGGGCGGGGGGGCGGCUGCGCUUGCGCGGGAGUGUGUCGGGCUGAGCCGCAGCGCCGAGACGCGGGCUGUUUGAUCUGGGCUGGUGGCCCUGGGCGUCGGUCCUGUUCCCCGAUGGUAACCCGAAGUUUGUUUUUUUUUGUUUUGUCUCCCCGUUUUAGAAGCAUUGGGGGCAGUGAAUCCACUGUCUCCCUCUGGAUUGUCUCUGCAGAGACCGAGAAGAAAUCCAGGGACAGCCCCACCCCUCCUUCCUAACUGCGAGAGCGCUAUAGGGUUUCCACUUGCUUCCCACAGGAAUGCUGGCCUGGGAGCUACGGCGGAAAAAAAUGCGUAUUUAUCUUUUAAAACUCCGUCUGUUUGCUCGUUCCGGCUGAUAAUUUAUACUUUGCGCAGUUCUUAGCGCUUAGACACGGUUCCUUUACUAAAGACCAUUUGUAGGAGAUUAGGUGUCCUUUUUUUCCCUUUCAUUUCACCGUCUAGGAAGCGAAAUGCCUUGUUCUAUAGGCACUAAACCACCACCCCUACCAAACCUUUCUCGGGGAAGCAGAAGGGGAACUUGUGCCUUGUGAGGAAGCGACAAAGGCCCCUUCUGGCCCUGGAGACUUCACGCCAAUGGAGCACCAGCUCUCUGUCCUCGCAAUAGCCCGAGUGCAGGCAGAACGCAGUCAUUUGUGUUUAUCUGAGAGGAGCUUUGGGAUAUAAAUAGUUUCAGGCCCCGCUGCGCUGUCAUUCCAGCCCAGCCUCCUGAUUGAGCUGCUUCCGGGCGGGCUUUCUUCUUGUUGGCGGUCCCAUGCUGUGUUCAGAUGGGCUCUGUGACAGGUUUGGAUGUUUUCUAUCACUGAAUAAAACUUUCCACUUUGGAACA